ACUAUCCGGAGUCCAUGUUUAGUAUUGGAAGAUCUUAUAAUAAACUGGUAUUUAGGGUGUAUAUUGUCCAGUAUCCAUGCUUAGUAUUGGAAGAUCAUAUGAUAAACAGGUAUUUAGGGUGUAUAUUGUCCAGAGUCCAUGCUUAGUAUUGGAAGAUCUUAUGAUAAACAGGUAUUUAGGGUGUAUAUUGUCCGGAGUACAUGCUUAGUAUUAGAAGAUCUUAUGAUAAACAAAUAUUUAGGGUGUAUAAUGUCCAGAGUCCAUGCUUAGGAUUGGAAGAUCUUAUGAUAAACAGGUAUUUAGGGUGUAUAUUGUCCGGAGUCCUUGAAGAUCAUAUGAUAAACAGUUAUUUAGGGUGUAUGUUGUCCGGAGUCCAUGCUUAAUAUUUGAAGAUCUUAUGAUAAACCGGUAUUUAGGGUGUAUAUUGUUCAAUAUCCAUGCUUAGUAUUGGAAGAUCUUAUGAUAAACAGAUAUUUAGGGUGUAUAUUGUCCAGAGUAAAUGCUUAAUAUUGAAAGAUCGUGUGAUAAACAGGUGUUUAGGGUGUAUAUUGUCCGUAGUCCUGGAAUAUUGUAUGAUAAACAGGUAUUUAGGGUGUAUGUUGUCCGGAGUCUAUGCUUAAUAUUGGAAGAUCUUAUGAUAAACCGGUAUUUAGGGUGUAUAUUGUCCACUGUCAAUGCUUAGUAGUGGAAGAUCUUAUGAUAAACAGGUAUUUAGGGUGUAUACUGUCCGGAGUACAUGCUUAGUAUUAGAAGAUCUUAUGAUAAACAAGUAUUUGGGGUGUAUUUUGUCCAGAGUCCAUGCUUAGUAUUGGAAGAUCUUAUCAUAAACAGGUGUUUUGGGUGGAUAUUGUCCGAAGUCCUGGAAGAUCAUGUGAUAAAUAGGUAUUUAGGGUAUAUAUUGUCCAUAGUCCAGGAAUACUGUAUGAUAAACAGGUAUUUAGGGUGUAUAUUGUCCAAUGUCAAUGCUUGGAAUUGUAAGAUCAUAUGAUAAACAAGUAUUUAUGGUAUAUACUGUCCACUGUCAAUGCUUAGUAGUGGAAGAUCA